rnacentral:rRNA from 1 species
GACGUAGGGCGCGAGCGUUGUCCGGAUUUAUUGGGCGUAAAGAGCUCGUAGGCGGCUUGUCGCGUCGACUGUGAAAACCCCGUGGCUCAACCAUGUGGGUCUGCAGUCGAUACGGGGCAGGCUAGAAUUCGGUAGGGGAGACUGGAAUUCCUGGUGUAGCGGUGAAAUGCGCAGAUAUCAGGAGGAACACCGGUGGCGAAGGCGGGUCUCUGGGCCGAUACUGACGCUGAGGAGCGAAAGCGUGGGGAGCGAACAGG